rnacentral:rRNA from 1 species
GAAUUUUCCGCAAUGGGCGAAAGCCUGACGGAGCAACGCCGCGUGCCAGAUGACGGCCUUCGGGUUGUAAAUGGCUUUUGUCGGGGACGAAACGGACGGUACCCGACGAAUAAGCCCCGGCUAACUCCGUGCCAGCAGCCGCGGUAAUACGGAGGGGGCAAGCGUUGUCCGGAUUUACUGGGCGUAAAGCGCGCGUAGGCGGUUGAGUGCGUCGGCGCUGAAAUCUCCCGGCUUAACCGGGAGAGGUGUGCCGAUACGACUCGACUAGAGGCAGUGAGAGGUUGGCGGAAUUCCGGGUGUAGUGGUGAAAUGCGUAGAUAUCCGGAGGAACAUCGGUGGCGAAAGCGGCCAACUGGUACUGACCUGACGCUGAGGUGCGAAAGCGUGGGGAGCGAACUGGAUUAGAUACCCAGGUAGUCCACGCGGUAAACGAUGUCGGCUCGGUGUGUGGGGGUGAUGCAACCACCUCUGCGUGCCUAAGUUCACACGGUAAGCCGACCGCCUGGGGAUUACGAGCGCAAGCUUAAAACUCAAAGGAAUUGACGGGGGCCCGCACAAGCAGCGGAGCGUGUGGUUUAAUUCGACGCAACACGAAGAACCUUACCCAGGUUUGACAUGGCGCUGCAAGCCCACGGAGACGUGGGACCUACGAGGGUGCGUCACAGGUGCUGCAUGGCUGUCGUCAGCUCGUGUCGUGAGAUG